rnacentral:rRNA from 1 species
CGCGGCCUAUCAGCUUGUUGGAGAGGUAACGGCUCACCAAGGCAUCGACGGGUAGCUGGUCUGAGAGGAUGAUCAGCCACACUGGGACUGAGACACGGCCCAGACUCCUACGGGAGGCAGCAGUGGGGAAUCUUGCACAAUGGGCGAAAGCCUGAUGCAGCAACGCCGCGUGCGGGAAGAAGGCCCUAGGGUUGUAAACCGCUUUCAGUAGGGAAGAAAAUGACGGUACCUACAGAAGAAGGUGCGGCCAACUACGUGCCAGCAGCCGCGGUGACACGUAGGCACCAAGCGUUAUCCGGAUUUAUUGGGCGUAAAGAGCUCGUAGGCGGUUUGGUAAGUCGGGUGUGAAAACUCUGGGCUCAACCCAGAGAGGCCACCCGAUACUGCUAUGACUAGAGUACGGUAGGGGAGCGGGGAAUUCAUGGUGUAGCGGUGAAAUGCGCAGAUAUCAUGAGGAACACCAGCGGCGAAGGCGCCGCUCUGGGCCGUAACUGACGCUGAGGAGCGAAAGCAUGGGUAGCAAACAGGAUUAGAUACCCUGGUAGUCCAUGCCGUAAACGUUGGGCACUAGGUGUGGGUCUCAACCAACGAGAUCCGCGCCGUCGCUAACGCAUUAAGUGCCCCGCCUGGGGAGUACGG